AUGGAAUCAUGGUGUCCUCCCAAGCCCUGCAGAGACAGUGAAAGAUAUUGUAUGCUAUGGGCAAAAUGCACGUGUGGAAGCUCUAAACCCAGUGUCAUGAUAUUUGAAGAUAGGACGUUUAGGAGGUGAGAUCUACAUCUGCUCUGAAGUGUACUCCCCUGUGUGGAGCAGCAGGCUAAGCAGAACAAGUUCCUCUAGCAACAGCGGAAGCACAAACAGAAUUUACUUUUGGAAUGAACAACUUUGUGAGCGAGGAAUAAUUAUCUCCACUUUAUAAAGAACAAGGCUACUUACUGAUGAAAUACUUCAUCCAUGAUAUUGUGUCAGAACCAAUACUACCAGAACUUUAGCUUUUGAAAGAGUGCCCUGGAUCUGGGAAGAGGGACUUCCCAUAAUUUCCCUUGGAUCCCACUGAAUGCAUCUUAGAAUGAUGUAGAGACUGAAAUUUCAGGAGACUCAGGGAAGCUGCAGAGUCCCAGCCAUGCUGAGUCUGCGGAUUAUCACACAGCAGUCGUCAAAUACAGCAUGGAAAGAGAAGUUAGAGACAAUGGAGAGUGUGCUCUAAACGUAACCUGGUGGAAAUGUUCUGAACAUGGAAAAGAGAAAUGGAAAGACAAAUGUAAUGACACAGAGGUCACAAAAGGACCAAAUAAAUAGAAUAUUAUGGAGGUGGAUACAAGUUACUAUUAUUACUAUUCAUGACUGAUUGUCUGCCAGAUCGCACUGGCUACUUCCAUUUAUACAUACCAGCUCAGUCAAGCUUCCCAUUACCUUCACCUACAGGCAAGGAAACUAAGGCCAAUAGAGGUAUGAAUCUGAACAGAAAAAAUCAGCUGGCCAAUAAGUGGGAGAGAAAAGAAUUCUUGUCACCAGAAGUUUCUGAGCCAAAGAUAUAGAUGGCAGUGAUGGUUGUAUUUAAUGUGAUCUAUUUUGGAUACACCAACAAUAAAAAGGAAAAGCUUCAAG